ACAGUAGACACAGAGACAGUUGGAGGCUGAGGAAAACUUUACUGUACUUUGGAUUCAGUAUGUUACACCUGCUCCCAGGAUGAGUCACACUUUAUUUUUUUUAGAGCCUCAGUAAAGCUAAUGUGGUCCUCAUGGUCACAGGAGAUGCAUCAGGAGAAAUAGCAGAACGGAGUCCAGGAGACGAAGGUGUUUCUUUACACCAUUCGUCAUCAGUGAGACCAAGGGCAGAGCAUCCCUAAAUGUUUCCCCCUCCGUCAUUAUGGAAGAUCUUCCAGUCCCUUAAAUCCACCUCAAGGAGACUAGGAGCAAGGACAGAGGAGGCUUUUGAAGGAGCAGAAGUGUAUCCUACACAGACGUCUUUUAUCAAGUGGCAUGACAACACAUCAAAAGUCACUGACAUGGCUUUAAGACUGACACUAUGGAACCAAAGAUCUCUCGUUUGGCAACUUCAGCUCCUCUGUCCUCAUGUCUCGUCCUCCAUCACUCUUUCACAUGCUUGCUGGGAGGAGCUACGAUGUAAGGAAGAGAGGCGAGUGAAGGAAGCAAGGAAACACAUUAGCAUAAUGUAAAAACACCCCUCGUCUCACCGUGUCUUAAUGCAGAGUCUUGCAAGCGUUCAUUUUUGAAAAUUCACAUACCAAGUUCAGUACCAGAACCGACCUGAUACCGGUCAUUAUUUCGACCUGCACCUGUGAUUAAACACACACAGGCUACAGUCACUCACAUCAAGCUGGGUUCUCCAGUCUUGGAUUACAAAUCCAGUGGAGGAGACGUCUCUUUCACCGCUUGAUGCUCGAGUGACAAAAACAUUCUGCACAAUCACUGCCAGGUUAGGAAACAUUUUAACAUGCUCCCUCCACCACCAUAAAACCUUAAAAGGAUCCUUUGUGGGUGUCUUUGAACUCGAUGCCGGCUGCCACCUCAUCCUCGGACUGCAAAGUUUCAUGGCCAGAGUCCUCCAUGUCAGUGACGAAUGUGGCGACGGAGUCAAAGGUU